UACAGAGGUCUCAAGCGUUGUUCGGAUUCAUUGGGCGUAAAGGGUGCGUAGGUGGGUUGGUAAGUCAGUGAUGAAAUCUCCAGGCUUAACUUGGAAACUGCCAUUGAUACUAUCAAUCUUGAAUACCGUGGAGGUCAGCGGAAUAUGUCAUGUAGCGGUGAAAUGCUUAGAUAUGACAUAGAACACCAAUUGCGAAGGCAGCUGGCUACACGAAUAUUGACACUGAUGCACGAAAGCGUGGGGAACAAACAGG
rnacentral:rRNA from 1 species